UCGAUUCCAGUUCCAAGAUCUUGUAUCAUCACAUAGCCUAUACCAUGCAAUGCUUCCCCCAAAAGAUAAAGGGAAAACCUUCUUCUCGACUUCAUCUCGGGGUAAACCUGCAAGCUUAAAUAAUCCACGAACUUCAUACAUGUAGAUUAGGUGCAUAUCGGGAUGUUUUGUUCCAUCUCGUACAUAAGGAUUAGCUUGUAGAUUCUCUAUCAUCCCCAAAGGAAUUUCAUAAUAAAUAUUUUUAGUAGGUUCGGUAGGUUGAGGGACAACUCUUGGUGUUUUCGGUCGAGGUGAAGAGACCCCAAACAAACCCAUCAUAGGAUUACUUUCCAUAGUGACGAGUGAUAGUAAAUUUCAGCACGUAAUAUAAAUUUUCCCUUACCAAAUUUUGCUUACCAAAGGCGCUGCACACCCCAGCGUGAUUCUCGCGACUACAUUGGUCUCCCUCCAAGAUUAAAGGGUGAUGUAGCAUAGUGAUGACAAGUAUUUCCCUUAGUUAAGAAAACAAGGUAUCAAUUCAAUAUGAAUAUCCACAAGAAUAUGUAAGCAGCACCUGCACACAAAUAGCAAAUCCUCGCAACCCAACGGUAGAGGGGUUGUCAAU
rnacentral:lncRNA from 1 species